AAACCACCUCGUUUGACAGUUUGCUUCAGUGAAUCCAGUUUUUCCCUUAUUACCAAAACCAAAUUACAGGGGAGUUUGUCUUUAUAACAGUUAAUAUAACUUUCCUCCUUUUUGCUUAGAAAAUCUGGGUUUUCUGAGAUUGGGAAAUAAUGCUUUAUUGCUUCACAGGAACAUAGAUAAAAAAGGAAGACGCGACACUCAGUAGUGGAUUUGCCUUCGCAGGGCAGAUAACUUUGUUAGGUGCAGGCUUAGAACCCUGCACUUAGCUGUGCUGCUUUGCUCUGGCUCCAGGAGAUGUGUGCCCAGACCCAGGCCAUGCAGAUACUAGUGCCUCUAACUUCGUCAGCCCAGAACACCUCACCUCUGGCCCCCAGCACAGGAAAGCAGCGUGGUCAGGAGGCGUUAAACUUCGGCUGAAGCACAGGCGCAGUGAGCCUGCAGGCCGACCUCACUCGUGGCACACAACUAAAUCUGGGGAGAAGCAACCCGAUGCCAGCAUGAUGCAGAUAUCUCAGGGUAUGAUCGGCCCUCCUUGGCACCAAAGCUACCAUUCCAGCUCCUCUACUAGUGACCUCUCCAACUAUGACCAUGCCUAUCUAAGGCGGAGCCCUGACCAGUGCAGCUCCCAGGGGAGCAUGGAGAGCCUGGAGCCCAGUGGGGCAUACCCACCCUGUCAUCUUUCCCCUGCCAAGUCCACCGGCAGCAUUGACCAGCUCAGCCACUUCCAUAACAAGAGAGACUCCGCUUACAGCUCUUUCUCCACCAGUUCUAGCAUCCUAGAGUAUCCAC
rnacentral:sRNA from 1 species